UUAGGCCUAACACAUGCAAGUCGAACGAGAUCUUCGGAUCUAGUGGCGCACGGGUGCGUAACGCGUGGGAAUCUGCCCUGGGGUGCGGAAUAACUCUCCGAAAGGAGUGCUAAUACCGCAUAAUGUCUUCGGACCAAAGAUUUAUCGCCCUGGGAUGAGCCCGCGUUGGAUUAGCUAGUUGGUGGGGUAAAAGCCUACCAAGGCGACGAUCCAUAGCUGGUCUGAGAGGAUGAUCAGCCACACUGGGACUGAGACACGGCCCAGACUCCUACGGGAGGCAGCAGUGGGGAAUAUUGGACAAUGGGCGAAAGCCUGAUCCAGCAAUGCCGCGUGAGUGAUGAAGGCCUUAGGGUUGUAAAGCUCUUUUACCAGGGAUGAUAAUGACAGUACCUGGAGAAUAAGCUCCGGCUAACUCCGUGCCAGCAGCCGCGGUAAUACGGAGGGAGCUAGCGUUGUUCGGAAUUACUGGGCGUAAAGCGCGCGUAGGCGGUCCAUCAAGUCAGAGGUGAAAGCCCGGGGCUCAACCCCGGAACUGCCUUUGAAACUGGCGGACUAGAAUCUUGGAGAGGCGAGUGGAAUUCCGAGUGUAGAGGUGAAAUUCGUAAAUAUUCGGAAGAACACCAGUGGCGAAGGCGACUCGCUGGACAAGUAUUGACGCUGAGGUGCGAAACCGUGGGGAGCAAACGGGAUUAAAUACCCGGGUAGUCCACGCCGUAAACGAUG
rnacentral:rRNA from 1 species